rnacentral:siRNA from 1 species
ACGAGACACACCCAUAUGCUCUGC